rnacentral:rRNA from 1 species
GACGAACGCUGGCGGCGUGCUUAACACAUGCAAGUCGAACGGAGUGGCGAACGGGUGAGUAACACGUGGGUGACCUGCCCUGCACUUCGGGAUAAGCCUGGGAAACUGGGUCUAAUACCGGAUAGUGUGGGAUGGGCCCGCGGCCCAUCAGCUUGUUGGUGGGGUAAUGGCCUACCAAGGCGUCGACGGGUAGCCGGCCUGUGAGGGUGGACGGCCAAAAAGGGACUGAGACACGGACCAGAAAGAUACGGGCGGCAGCAGUGGGGAAGAUUGGACAAGGGGAGGAAGGCUGAUGCAGCGACGCCGCGUGGGGGAUGACGGCCUUCGGGUUGUAAACUCCUUUCACCAUAGACGCGGUAGAUGGAGAAGAAGCACCGGCUAACUACGUGCGAGCAGGCGCGGUAAUUC